UUAUCACAAAUAAUAAUUCAGAAAUACCACCAAGUCUAUCACUAUUCAGCAUGUGUCACAUAAUGCGUAUUCUAACUGAAACAGUGAAUAAAUGAAGUUCACUUAGCACCAUUGCAGUAACCGUAGAGCUAAAUGUUAACACCAAAGUAAGGUUGUGGAAUAUGCAUACGAUGAAACAGCUCUAUUCCAAUAUAGAUAGACUAGUGGGAUCAAAAUAAAGGAGAAAGAAAAUGAUAAUUGGCUUUAAGCAUUUUCUAGACACACAAAGAUUAACUUACUGCAUCUUCAGGUAAAAGAAUACGCGUCAGUGGCCAGGUAUCCGCUGCUUGUCUCAAGAAAAUGAUAAUUGGCUUUAAGCAUUUUUUAGACACGCAAAGAUUAACUUACUGCAUCUUCAGGUAAAAGAAUACGCGUCAGUGGCCAGGUAUCCGCUGCUUGUCUCAAGAAAAUGAUAAUUGGCUUUAAGCAUUUUUUAGACACGCAAAGAUUAACUUACUGCAUCUUCAGGUAAAAGAAUACGCUCAGUGGCCAGGUAUCCGCUGCUUGUCUCAAAGAAAAUGAUAAUUGGCUUUAAGCAUUUUUUAGACACGCAAAGAUUAACUUACUGCAUCUUCAGGUAAAAGAAUACGCUCAGUGGCCAGGUAUCCGCUGCUUGUCUCAAAGAAAAUGAUAAUUGGCUUUAAGCAUUUUUUAGACACGCAAAGAUUAACUUACUGCAUCUUCAGGUAAAAGAAUACGCUCAGUGGCCAGGUAUCCGCUGCUUGUCUCAAAGAAAAUGAUAAUUGGCUUUAAGCAUUUUUUAGACACGCAAAGAUUAACUUACUGCAUCUUCAGGUAAAAGAAUACGCUCAGUGGCCAGGUAUCCGCUGCUUGUCUCAAAGAAAAUGAUAAUUGGCUUUAAGCAUUUUUUAGACACGCAAAGAUUAACUUACUGCAUCUUCAGGUAAAAGAAUACGCUCAGUGGCCAGGUAUCCGCUGCUUGUCUCAAUUGGUACCAUCCUACCAGCUCCUACCCUUGGUUUCUCCUCAUUCUUGCAAAUAUGGAAUCUAUACUUGGGGAGAACUCUGAGAUCUUCCUCGGAUGCACCUUCCUAUAUAUUACAGGUAAAAGAUC
rnacentral:lncRNA from 1 species